AUGUGUGGAUGGUGUUCAGCACCAAGACAGACAUGUUUGCAUUUCUGUGGAUGGUGUUCAGCACCAAGGACAGUUGUGUUUGCCU
rnacentral:pre_miRNA from 1 species